rnacentral:rRNA from 1 species
UCUCCAGACUCCUACGGGAGGCAGCAGUGAGGAAUAUUGGUCAAUGGUCGGGAGACUGAACCAGCCAAGCCGCGUGAGGGAUGAAGGUACAGAGUCUCGUAAACCUCUUUUGUCAGGGAACAAAGGCGGGGACGUGUCCCCGGAUGAGUGUACCUGAAGAAAAAGCAUCGGCUAACUACGUGCCAGCAGCCGCGGUAAUACGUAGGGAGCAAGCGUUGUCCGGAAUUACUGGGCGUAAAGGGCGCGUAGGUGGGCGCUUAAGUCAGGUGUGAAAACUCCGGGCUCAACCUGGAGACUGCACUUGAAACUGGGUGUCUUGAGGGCAGGAGAGGAAAGUGGAAUUCCUAGUGUAGCGGUGAAAUGCGUAGAUAUUAGGAGGAACACCAGUGGCGAAGGCGACUUUCUGGACUGUACCUGACGCUGAGGCGCGAAAGCGUGGGUAGCGAACGGGAUUAGAUACCCUAGUA